AUUGAACGCUGGCGGCAGGCCUAACACAUGCAAGUCGAACGAGAGGCGGACGGGUGAGCAAUGUCGGGGAACGUGCCUGAUGGAGGGGGAUAACGGCUGUAACAGGUAGAUACAGCCGCAUAACGUCAGAUGUGCCCAGGUGGGAUGAGCUUGUUGGUGGGGUAACGGCUCACCAAGGCGACGAGGCCUAGCUGGUCUGAGAGGUUGACCAGCCACACUGGAACUGAGACACGGUCCAGACUCCUACGGGAGGCAGCAGUGGGGAAUAUUGCACAAUGGGCGCAAGUCUGACGCAGCCAUGCCGCGUGUAUGAAGAAGGCCUUCGGGUUGUAAAGUACUUUCAGCGGGGAGGCGUUAUCCUCAGAGGAAGCACCGGCUAACUCCGUGCCAGCCGCCGCGGUAAUUC
rnacentral:rRNA from 1 species